UACAGAGGUCCCGAGCGUUGUUCGGAUUCAUUGGGCGUAAAGGGUGCGUAGGCGGCGGGGCCAGUCUGAUGUGAAAUCCUAGGGCUCAACCCUAGAACUGCAUUGGAUACUGCCUUGCUAGAGUACUGGAGAGGGAACUGGAAUUUACGGUGUAGCAGUGAAAUGCGUAGAGAUCGUAAGGAAGGCCAGUGGCGAAGGCGAGUUCCUGGACAGUUACUGACGCUGAGGCACGAAGGCCAGGGGAGCAAACGGG
rnacentral:rRNA from 1 species